CCUACGGGUGGCAGCAGUGAGGAAUAUUGGUCAAUGGGCGCGAGCCUGAACCAGCCACGUAGCGUGAAGGAUGACUGCCCUACGGGUUGUAAACUUCUUUUAUAAAGGAAUAAAGUGAGGCACGUGUGCCUUUUUGUAUGUACUUUAUGAAUAAGGAUCGGCUUACUCCGUGCCCGCAGCCGCGGUAAUACGGAGGAUCCGAGCGUUAUCCGGAUUUGUUGGGUUUAAAGGGAGCGUAGAUGGGUUGUUAAGUCAGUUGUGAAAGUUUGCGGCUCAACCGUAAAAUUGCAAUUGAUACUGGCAGUCGUGAGUACAGUUGAGGUAGGCGGAAUUCGUGGUGUAGCGGUGAAAUGCUUAGAUAUCACGAAGAACUCCGAUUGCGAAGGCAGCUUACUAAACUGCCACUGACAUUGAUGCUCGAAAGUGUGGGUAUCAAACAGGAUUAGAUACCCGAGUAGUC
rnacentral:rRNA from 1 species